GACGAACGCUGGCGGCGUGCCUAACACAUGCAAGUCGAACGGAGUUGAAAGGAGCUUGCUUUUUUCAACUCAGUGGCGGACGGGUGAGUAACGCGUGAGUAACCUGCCUUUCAGAGGGGGAUAACGUUCUGAAAAGAACGCUAAUACCGCAUAAGAUUGUAGUUUCGCAUGGAGCAGCAAUCAAAGGAGCAAUCCGCUGAAAGAUGGACUCGCGUCCGAUUAGAUAGUUGGCGGGGUAACGGCCCACCAAGUCGACGAUCGGUAGCCGGACUGAGAGGUUGAUCGGCCACAUUGGGACUGAGACACGGCCCAGACUCCUACGGGAGGCAGCAGUGAGGGAUAUUGGGCAAUGGGGGAAACCCUGACCCAGCAACGCCGCGUGAGGGAUGACGGUUUUCGGAUUGUAAACCUCUGUCCUCUGUGAAGAUAGUGACGGUA
rnacentral:rRNA from 1 species